UACUUCUGUUUGGUCCAAUAACAGAAGGGGACAGAAGACAAGAACAGCACAUUAACACUGACAUGGAAAUUCUGCAUCAUCAUGGUGCUCAUCAUGAGACUGAUUCCAUUAUAACACACACGAACAUCGAUGUGCCAAAGGAACAAGAAGCUAAAAAAUCUACCCAGCAGGAGCACCUGGAGGAGGCCUGAUUUGACGUGGCCUAGCUUCUGGGACUCACACUGAAUUAUUUGAUUCUGUCCCUUCACUGUCCUUCCCCUCCAGGGAAGGAGACCUCAAGGGGAGGCUACUCCAUCUCCUGCCCACUGCUGCUGGUUUUAUAGCCACACCUCAUUUUCUGGAUGAUAUUCUACUUCCUCAACAGAGCUUCAGUCACAGACUUUGUCAGACUACAUCCAUGGCUGGUCCAGUAGGGAGCUUCCUGGACUGGGCAUUAUGAGACCUGGGUUCUAGAUCUGGCUCUAACUUCAUUUAAUGAUGGGAUCUUGACCCAGUUACUGUGUACUCCUGGAACUCAGCUUCGUCAUCUGUACAGUGAGUCUGUUGGAAGAUUCCCUGCAGUGUGUCCGUAGCCCCUGUGUGUUUAGCUCCCACACACCUGUUCUCAAGCCCAUUCUCCCUUUGCUCUGCUUGACCAUAGAGGCUGAAAGGAGAAACACUCUAUUUCCCUCCUCCUUCACUGCCAGGGCAGUCAUGCGACACAGUUCUGACCAGUGAGCCUCACAGGAAAGCCUGCCCAGAGGUCUUGAUGAAAGCUUUUGUUUUCCUAACCAGGUGAAUAGAUCCAGCUGAUGCUCUCCUUCCCACUCCUGUCUGUUCAGUUGUGACGAAUACCAAAAUGCUGAGUAAGGUGGGUCAGAAAGCCUGAAAGAGCCUGGCCCAGAGAGCUGCAGAUCAGCUGAACCACUGUGACUCACCCCUUGCCUCUGAACAUCUUGUUACAUGAGAAAAAUAGUCCCCUACCACUGAAGCCACUGUUCGCCAGACUUUCUGUUAUUUGUAGCUGAAUAUAUUCCUCACUGACACAAGCUUUUACAUUCAGGGCUGAAAAUUACAAUCAGUUCAGAUCUGGGCCAAGGUCAUUGAUGGAAAGAGGCAUUGCAACCACAAAAAAUUAUCUGCAUCUUUGAGUUCAUUGGGAUAUAGAACAUAAGCAAUAAGCUGGAGUUCAAUGUUUCUGGAUGGCAAUGGUUUCUAUCUAGAACCAAGUUUAUUUAUCCUAUCAAAGGGUUUGUAAACUGGAAGCCAAAUAUUGCCUAUUGCUGACCAGGGUGUGUGUGUGUGUGUGUGUGUGUGUUUACCAUUUACCAGUGUGUGUGUGUGUGUGUGUGUUUACCAUUUACCAGUUUUAAUGCCUUUGGAACCUUCUAAGGUAUCUUUCUCACUCAUUUAUCCUGGCCAAAAUAUUAAUGAUGGCUAUGGCUUGAUUUUGCAAAGUCUUUUCCUCCAAGUAGAUUCUACUUGCUAGAGGAUGCUUUUGAUACCCUUCCCAAUUCACUAGGGAAUCGAUGUGUUUAAGUGACAAGUCAAAGGCUGAGUCCACAGUCUAGAAGCUGGCUCUGGGCUUCCAUGCUGAGGCACAUGGUGUUGUAUCUGUCAACCCUUUGUAGGGUUAGGGCACGUGUGCUCAGAGGGCUCCCCAUCCAGCCUGUCUACUCCACAACAGCUGCUUGACUGACCCAAGAACCACACUCCUUUUGGUUCAAGGGACUUUGCUACAAACCCAGACAAUUGGGUCUGGGGUGUCGGCAGAAUGGGAUGGAAGGACAGUGACACAGACCCAGUGGAAUAAGGUCAGUGUCACUGGGAACAGGCAGGGUCAGUGCUUCACCUGAGGAGAAACUUUCAGGGGCUGUCCCCUGCUCUCCAGGACUCUGUGGCUUGCUCUGGUGGAUUGUGAAGAUGGACUGGGAUUGUGAAGACAGAGUGGGAUCGUGAAGAUGAACUGGGAUUUUGAAGACGGAUUGGGCGCAAAGUCAUUUUGGCACAAAACAGCUGCCACUAUUAUGUCCAUUUCAGAAAAAGUGACGUUGUAUGAAUGAAAGCAGAUUUGUCAUCAUUCCCUCAGGAUUGUGCUGGAACUUCUCUGAUGGACUCCUGGACUUCCUUAAGGUUUUAUUUAUUUAUUUGAGAGAGAGAAUGAGACAGAGAGCAUGAGAGGGAAGAGGGCAGAGGGAGAAGCAGACCCCCUGCUGAGCAGGGAGCCUGAUGUGGGACUCGAUCCUGGGACUCCAGGAUCAUGACCUGAGCCGAAGGCAGUUGCUUAACCAACUGAGCCACCCAGGCGCCCGGACUCCUGGACUUCCACAUUGCUCUUGCAGACCUGUUCUCUGCAACUAUCAUGGAGGGCACACCUAGCAGUCAUGCUCAGAGGGAAUCACUUGACAGAUGCCCGACUAAGAUUUUUCUUCUGUUGAGGGGGUAUUGGUUACACCUGCUCAAAACUGUUUCCAGGGCAUAAUAAUACAGAGUCUCAAUGAAGAGGUACAGAAAGUUACGAGAGAGAAGCACUCCAACUAAAAGACAAGGCUGUGGCAUGAGAUGAACUGCGAGACUGUUGAGACAAAAGAUUGCAGAAAGACUAAGAGCACGACGGCAGGAUUAGAACCCACAUCUGACAAUGGUAAUCGCAGAAUUAAUCCCAGGAACACAAAUGAGUGAUGAGAGGACAAAUUUGGGAAGGUGUUCUAGAAGACUGAAGAAAAGAUCAAUCAGAGAAGGGAAAAAGAGUAAGAGAGGAUCAUAGACAUGGAAGACAGAGAAUUGAGAUUCAAGAGAACUGCCGUCUCAGGAGAGCAAGGAGGGCCUGAGUUAGUGCAGCACCACUGCCACCUACUGGGGAGGAGAGGACACUGCCAGGGAGGCAGAAGCAACACACUGGUCCUAGAGCUUUUCUGGGGGCCCCGUCUUCUCUCUAUCGAGGCCUUGCAAGAUGACCACCAGAAGACAACUUUCAAGCCACCUCACAAUAAACAGGAAGCUUCACGCAGCCAGUUGUUGGGGAUACACGGCAAAAUAUCAGGUAAAAAGAAAUCAUGUUUUGAAGAUCAAAAUCCUUUCCAACUUUAUUUGGAAUGCUCCUAAUUCAGCAGGGAACUAUUUUGGGAGAUGGAGUGUUUUCCAGAAGUUUUUAUAAUCUCCUAUAAACUUCUCAGUGUGUAAGUGUGAAUUUUGAAAGGCUAUUUAUUGGGGUGUUAUUUGUUUGUUUUUAUGGAGGGGGGAUACUUAUUAUCAUGCAGUAGUUGAAAAAGCCUGCAAAUUGGAGCCAUGAUGUUUGCGUUUGGCCCCAUUAACGGAGGGAUCUUGAACAAGUCAUUCACCCUCAUUGUCCCUCAAGGUUCUUAUCUGCCACACAAGAGGAUGGAACGCUUAGCAGCGCUGUUGCAGGAAUGAAUAAAAUAGUGCCUGCAGAUGGACCCUGUACAUGGUAAAAUGAUUUUUAAAGGGUAGUUAUUAUUGUUUAUUGAAGAUAAACAUAUGCCCUGUGGAAUUUUAGAGUCUGCUCUCUGUGGGAACUUUCAGUCUCUGGUGAGAGAUAAAGGAAGAAAGACUAUGAAUGAAUGAACAGAUACUCUGGGUGGCAGGAAGAAAGGAAAGAAAAGCUUAUUUAGAAUGGAAAAAUGCACUUCAAAAACAUAAACCCAAACCAUAUACAUAAAUAGGGAACAUUUCCUGUGCUCCCAGAAUCUCUGCAGAUUCUACCGAUGGGUUCUACUAAAAGGUUCACAUGGAAAUGAUCUCUUUGGGGGAAUUUUUAGAAUGACUGUUAAAAACAUUGCAUGGUUUGUGGUUCUUUGCACCGUGAGAACAAUGGAAUUUGUUUCAAUAGCUGUUAGUUCAAUCUUUUCCCUUCGCGAGUAGAAACGACAGCACAAUCUUUAAAAGCAUAUUUCUAAGAUGAAUAUUUUGCUGCUAAUUUUUGUGGUUGUUGUUCAGAAAAGGAUUCUAGAUCUGACAUACAAUGGGAGUUGAGAAUCCUUUCGUGGUUUCUUCUUGUGAGAACAAUGCGCCUAGCUUCCGUUCCGUGUAGCCAGGUGAGGAAAGAACAGACCUGUGCCAGAGUGAAGUGAGCAUCUUGACUUAGACAGUCAGUCAUGGAGCCCAAGAGACCUAGGUGGCCUGAGCAGGGGGCUUCACGGCCCCGGCUGUUACCCACGUGGUUGCAAGCACCUCACAGCCCUCGGAUGUGUGACUUUGGGAAAGCGACUCGGCUAAUUUGAGCGUCUGCAUUGUGAAGGAUUACAUGACUUGCCAGGCUUAUAAUGGACUGCGUUGUGGAUGUUGAGUCUCUGGACAGGUGAGUUCAAGUGCUCUAUGCAGGGGCGGGACAUUCGAGGAGAAGGA